GAUCCCCGUACAUUGCAAACAUUUGUAUUGGCUUUACAGAUGUUCGUCGUGGUCUGGGCGUUUGUGUUUGUGUAUUGUGUGCGUUUCCGGAUCCCCGACACAGAAAACAAUCCUACUGGCGGCCGUUGAGUGUUAAUCGUUUAUUUAUUUAUUUAUUUAUUACUACUGUAACAUUAAGUUGCUU